rnacentral:rRNA from 1 species
CGGGGAAUAUUGCACAAUGGGCGCAAGCCUGAUGCAGCCAUGCCGCGUGUGUGAAGAAGGCCUUCGGGUUGUAAAGCACUUUCAGCGAGGAGGAAGGGUAGUGUGUUAAUAGCACAUUGCAUUGACGUUACUCGCAGAAGAAGCACCGGCUAACUCCGUGCCAGCAGCCGCGGUAAUACGGAGGGUGCAAGCGUUAAUCGGAAUUACUGGGCGUAAAGCGCACGCAGGCGGUUUGUUAAGUCAGAUGUGAAAUCCCCGCGCUUAACGUGGGAACUGCAUUUGAAACUGGCAAGCUAGAGUCUUGUAGAGGGGGGUAGAAUUCCAGGUGUAGCGGUGAAAUGCGUAGAGAUCUGGAGGAAUACCGGUGGCGAAGGCGGCCCCCUGGACAAAGACUGACGCUCAGGUGCGAAAGCGUGGGGAGCAAACA